UCUUAAAAGGACCUACGAGGCCCAAAACAAUCAUUGAAAUUGGUUUGGAAAUAAACCAAAAUCUUUCAGACACUUAGUAAUUUUUUUUUUACCAAAGCAGGGUCACACGCCCAUGUCUAGACCCCGUGUAAAAAUUAGCUAGCUACUGACUUGCUCACACGGCUAGACCACACACCCGUGUGGUGGCCGUGUUCUUCACACGGCUGAGACACAUGGUCGUGUCUCAAGCCCAUGUGUAUCAUAUGCUAUUUUCCAAGCCCUUUUUGUGUUCUUAACUUAGCCACACCAAGAUAUUUAUCUAUGCAUACAUAAAAUAGGUUUACAUAACUUUAACCAUUAUGAGCCAAAUCUUAUGGCUAUAUACAAUGAAGCAAAAUGAGCCUAUACAUUUGGCUAAAUCAUGAUAUUACCUAAUAUCAAUAACUUAUUAUCUAUACAUGCCACUUAUUUGACAAUAAAUAAGAAUUACCAUUAUUCUAAUUUGAUAAACUAAUAGUGUGAUGAUACUUCCGACGAUUUCCAACCCCGAGCCAACCUGACAACACUAAGAGAAAUGGGAAAAUGGUGUAAGCUUAAAAGCUUAGUAAGUUGGAAUAUUAAUAAUAAUAAGCAAUUUAAUUAACAAUAUUAUCCCAUUCCUCAAUGAUUAUGCUCAAGAAAAUAGAAUCAUUAAUCACAUGAUUUCAUCUUUUUACACAAGAUCAGCUAAGGCUAUUUUCCUGAAUCAUAGUCACUAAAUUAUUUAUAUCUAAAGGUACGAAACUCCGAAUUAAGUUUUGUUAAUUUUCCAUGAAACUAGACUUAUUUUCCUUUCUUCCAUAAAAUUUCCAGAAUUUUUGGUUAAGCCAAAUAGUACAGUUUAUUCCUCAAAGUUACCCCUGAUUCACUAUCUGACAGUUCCGACCCUUCUGUACUAAAGUUCAAUUAUAUCAUAGUACAAGACUCGAAUAAUGUUCUUGUCUAUUUCUCUUGAAACUAGACUCAUAUGUCUACUUACUAAUUUUUUUCUAUAAUUUUUGGUUGGGCCAAUUAGUACAGUUUAUUAGUUAAAGUCUCCCCUGUUUUAGGGUAUGACCAAUCUGACCCCUAUGCACUACAAACAGAAUUUCUCCCUGUAUAGAAUUCCAACGACCAUACUAUUUAUUUCCCCUAAAAAUAGACUCAAUAAUGAAUCCAUGCAUGUAAGUUAUGACUCUUAAUAAUUUUUCUACAAUUGUUGGUGAAUUUCUAAAGUCAGAACAGGGGAUCUCGAAUUCAUUCAGACCCUGUUUCACAAGAAUUCAAAUAUCACACAAUAUGAAAUUCUUUUUCUUCCCCUGUUUCUUUCAUGUGAAAAUAAACUCAUUAAGCUUUAAUCUCAUAUUUUAUUCUACCUCUAACUCAUUUUCCACUAUUUGUAGUGUAUUUUCAAAGUUACACUACUGCAGUAACUCAAAUCUGUCAAGGCUAAAUUACUCAUUCAUAUUUUCGAUAUACCCGUUGAACUAUUUGGAAUAAAAAUUGGAUACUCGGGAAUCUCGCACACCUAAGUGCCAGUAUCAUGGUUCGAAGCCAAAUCAAUGUAACUUUAAUGACAUGCCCUUUGUAUCCUAAUUUAUUCCUAAAGUUCAACAGGAAUUUCCAAUGCCAAAUUUUCAUAAAAUACUUCCAUACAAUCAUAAUCAUCAACAAUUCAAUUAUACAGGAUUAAAUCUCAAUUAUAAUAAUGCUAUUAACAAGCUCAUACAUACAUGUACAUACCUGUACCGAUCCAUAACAAAAUCAUACUUACACGAAAUGUCGCUGUACAAUCGAUGUCUUGCACGCUAAGUGCUAUACCGGAUGUUUCGCACACUAAGUGCCAUCCUCGAUACUUCGCACACUAAGUGUCAUUUCGAAUGUCUUGCACACUAAGUGUCAUCCUCAAUACUUCGCACACUAAGUGCCGUUCGUUUGGUCGAUAAAUCAUUAAUCAUUAAAAUACUCAUAAAUAUUCCAUUUAUAUGAUUUCAACGCAUUAAAUGCUCAAUAUAAUAAUACUUAAUACGUACGAACUUACUUGUUUAUAACCUUACCACAUCCCAGUCACUUAAUGAACACAUCAUUCACAUAACCAAGUUCCUGCACUUAUUCCUCACAAAACUCACAAAGCAGUACGUAGUAAGUCUCCUGUUGAACACUUCGGAUCAAUACUCGAUACUUGGUGGUUUCAGCACAUAGCUCCACCCAUUAUAUAGUUCGGCUCUCUUGUACACAUGGUGAACACUUAGUACCACCCAUGUGAUCUAGCCAGUUUAUCUCGUAGCUCUCUUGUCUACAUGGUGUACAAAUAGUAUCACCCAUGUGACCUAGCUACAUUAUAAUGUCUCGUAGCUCUCUUGUACACAUGAUGUGCACUCAGCACCAUAUAUGUGACCUAGCUACAUACCAUCUGUAUCAUUCAAUCUUUCCGAAGGUUCAACCGGGAUUUCUCUCUCUUUUUUCAAUAAUUUCACCAAUCAAGUAAUUAUCAACAAACAUAUUUCCAAUAUUAUUAUAAAAUAUCAUAAUACAAGUAAAAUUGAUGUCUUACUUACAUAUAAACUUACAUCUCAUUUAAUAUCAAGGCAAUAAUAUUAUUACAGUAUUAUUAUCAUACCAACUUACCUCAAAUGCUGAAACGGCUAACUUUUCUGACUUAGCACACAACUUUGUUCUUCCUUGAUCUUAAUCCAAAAUUUCAUGUUUUCUUGAUCUAACAUGUCAAAUAACACUUAUUUAACACAUUUUAUCAACACACUAACCAAUUCAAUUCAUAUAUCAAAAUUUGGAAAUUUUACAAUUAUGCCCCCUAACUUUUCAAAAAUUACACUUUUACCCUAGGCUCGUAAAAUAAUUUUUUUAUUCAAUUUCUAUAAGGUUUAAGACAUGCUGAACAUUUUUCUCUUCUAUGGAAACUCCAAAUUUUCACUAAUUCACACACUUAUGACCAAUUUAUAACUUUUACAAAUUAACCCCCUUUUUGACAUUUUUACCGAAAUUCAUUGAAUAAAACUCAUAUUUAACACAUCAAGCAUUCAUUAUCUACUAUAAAUCAUCAAAACACAACCAUAUCAUGAAUGGGUAAUUUUUUAAACUCUAAUUUCUCUUCAAUCAAUUGGUAGAAAUAGAAAAUUUAAGCUUCAGGGAUCUCAAAAAUACGAAAAUCAUUAAAAACGGGACAAAAACCGUACCUAUAUAAGCCAUAGAAGCUUGACCGAAUGGAGCUCAUCCAUGGCUGCCAUUUUCGGUUCUUUCCCACGGUUGAAGAAGAAAGAAUGGAAAAAAAUGAUAGCUUUUAUC
rnacentral:lncRNA from 1 species